rnacentral:rRNA from 1 species
AGCGUACACGGUGGAUGCCCUGGCAGUCAGAGGCGAUGAAGGACGUGCUAAUCUGCGAUAAGCGUCGGUAAGGUGAUAUGAACCGUUAUAACCGGCGAUUUCCGAAUGGGGAAACCCAGUGUGUUUCGACACACUAUCAUUAACUGAAUCCAUAGGUUAAUGAGGCGAACCGGGGGAACUGAAACAUCUAAGUACCCCGAGGAAAAGAAAUCAACCGAGAUUCCCCCAGUAGCGGCGAGCGAACGGGGAGCAGCCCAGAGCCUGAAUCAGUGUGUGUGUUAGUGGAAGCGUCUGGAAAGGCGCGCGAUACAGGGUGACAGCCCCGUACACAAAAAUGCACAUGCUGUGAGCUCGAUGAGUAGGGCGGGACACGUGGUAUCCUGUCUGAAUAUGGGGGGACCAUCCUCCAAGGCUAAAUACUCCUGACUGACCGAUAGUGAACCAGUACCGUGAGGGAAAGGCGAAAAGAACCCCGGCGAGGGGAGUGAAAAAGAACCUGAAACCGUGUACGUACAAGCAGUGGGAGCACGCUUAGGCGUGUGACUGCGUACCUUUUGUAUAAUGGGUCAGCGACUUAUAUUCUGUAGCAAGGUUAACCGAAUAGGGGAGCCGAAGGGAAACCGAGUCUUAACUGGGCGUUAAGUUGCAGGGUAUAGACCCGAAACCCGGUGAUCUAGCCAUGGGCAGGUUGAAGGUUGGGUAACACUAACUGGAGGACCGAACCGACUAAUGUUGAAAAAUUAGCGGAUGACUUGUGGCUGGGGGUGAAAGGCCAAUCAAACCGGGAGAUAGCUGGUUCUCCCCGAAAGCUAUUUAGGUAGCGCCUCGUGAAUUCAUCUCCGGGGGUAGAGCACUGUUUCGGCAAGGGGGUCAUCCCGACUUACCAACCCGAUGCAAACUGCGAAUACCGGAGAAUGUUAUCACGGGAGACACACGGCGGGUGCUAACGUCCGUCGUGAAGAGGGAAACAACCCAGACCGCCAGCUAAGGUCCCAAAGUCAUGGUUAAGUGGGAAACGAUGUGGGAAGGCCCAGACAGCCAGGAUGUUGGCUUAGAAGCAGCCAUCAUUUAAAGAAAGCGUAAUAGCUCACUGGUCGAGUCGGCCUGCGCGGAAGAUGUAACGGGGCUAAACCAUGCACCGAAGCUGCGGCAGCGACGCUGAUGCGUUGUUGGGUAGGGGAGCGUUCUGUAAGCCUGCGAAGGUGUGCUGUGAGGCAUGCUGGAGGUAUCAGAAGUGCGAAUGCUGACAUAAGUAACGAUAAAGCGGGUGAAAAGCCCGCUCGCCGGAAGACCAAGGGUUCCUGUCCAACGUUAAUCGGGGCAGGGUGAGUCGACCCCUAAGGCGAGGCCGAAAGGCGUAGUCGAUGGGAAACAGGUUAAUAUUCCUGUACUUGGUGUUACUGCGAAGGGGGGACGGAGAAGGCUAUGUUGGCCGGGCGACGGUUGUCCCGGUUUAAGCGUGUAGGCUGGUUUUCCAGGCAAAUCCGGAAAAUCAAGGCUGAGGCGUGAUGACGAGGCACUACGGUGCUGAAGCAACAAAUGCCCUGCUUCCAGGAAAAGCCUCUAAGCAUCAGGUAACAUCAAAUCGUACCCCAAACCGACACAGGUGGUCAGGUAGAGAAUACCAAGGCGCUUGAGAGAACUCGGGUGAAGGAACUAGGCAAAAUGGUGCCGUAACUUCGGGAGAAGGCACGCUGAUAUGUAGGUGAAGUCCCUUGCGGAUGGAGCUGAAAUCAGUCGAAGAUACCAGCUGGCUGCAACUGUUUAUUAAAAACACAGCACUGUGCAAACACGAAAGUGGACGUAUACGGUGUGACGCCUGCCCGGUGCCGGAAGGUUAAUUGAUGGGGUCAGCGCAAGCGAAGCUCUUGAUCGAAGCCCCGGUAAACGGCGGCCGUAACUAUAACGGUCCUAAGGUAGCGAAAUUCCUUGUCGGGUAAGUUCCGACCUGCACGAAUGGCGUAAUGAUGGCCAGGCUGUCUCCACCCGAGACUCAGUGAAAUUGAACUCGCUGUGAAGAUGCAGUGUACCCGCGGCAAGACGGAAAGACCCCGUGAACCUUUACUAUAGCUUGACACUGAACAUUGAGCCUUGAUGUGUAGGAUAGGUGGGAGGCUUGGAAGUGUGGACGCCAGUCUGCAUGGAGCCGACCUUGAAAUACCACCCUUUAAUGUUUGAUGUUCUAACGUUGACCCGUAAUCCGGGUUGCGGACAGUGUCUGGUGGGUAGUUUGACUGGGGCGGUCUCCUCCUAAAGAGUAACGGAGGAGCACGAAGGUUGGCUAAUCCUGGUCGGACAUCAGGAGGUUAGUGCAAUGGCAUAAGCCAGCUUGACUGCGAGCGUGACGGCGCGAGCAGGUGCGAAAGCAGGUCAUAGUGAUCCGGUGGUUCUGAAUGGAAGGGCCAUCGCUCAACGGAUAAAAGGUACUCCGGGGAUAACAGGCUGAUACCGCCCAAGAGUUCAUAUCGACGGCGGUGUUUGGCACCUCGAUGUCGGCUCAUCACAUCCUGGGGCUGAAGUAGGUCCCAAGGGU